rnacentral:rRNA from 1 species
GAUCAUGGCUCAGGACGAACGCUGGCGGCGUGCCUAACACAUGCAAGUCGAACGGAACUCUUUGGAACAAGGCUUCGGCCAAGGGAAACUGAGUUUAGUGGCGAACGGGUGAGUAACGCGUGAACAAUCUGCCUUUCAGAGGGGGACAACAGUUGGAAACGACUGCUAAUACCGCAUAAUAUAUUUUGGGGGCAUCCCUGGGAUAUCAAAGAUUUAUCGCUGAAAGAUGAGUUCGCGUCUGAUUAG